GCCUUUGUGCUGUAGUGGGCAGCACACUGGGCUCCUAUUCCAGAGGCCCGUGGUUCGAGUCCCAGGGAAGGCA
rnacentral:tRNA from 1 species